GUGAGCCGCGGGGCGAUGACGCAAUCUGGCCGGGAAGAGGAAAUCAGCGAACAAGUGCUACAAAUCGUUAGCAUUAGAGUCAAGAAAGCUGAUAAUGAUUUGACAAAAUGAAGUUCUGUUCAAACAGUCAACAAAAUCAAUAAUUGCAGAGAACAUAAUAACUGGACAGCAAUGAAGAAGAGAAAACAAAUAUUCAAAUAGCCUCGAAAUAAGAUAAGUUUUGAGUAGCUUCAAGUGGAUGACGUGUGAACCAAAACCUGCAUUAUGAAUCACUCUUGGCUCUCAUCGGAAUCCAAAAACCACAGAGACUUUUAAACGAAUUCUUAUGUUUAUUUAUUUAUUUUUCUUAUUGGUGGUGCAUAGACAUUGUUAAGCUCUCAGUAGAAUCAAUAAAGUAUCUUUUAAAACCUUUGCUAAUUUUUUAAAAUGCAUUUAAAGAAGUCUAGAUGAGAUGUUGAGACAAGCGAGUGUGCUAUUUUAGGUGUUCGAAGCAUUGGUGUCGAGACAGCGGCGGGGAAGGCCAGGCGAGGGACUGUUCUUUUCUGCUCUGCGCCUCGGCCUGGCAACACGUAUGAUCCUAUUGUGUCUGCUGCGGCUUUGUAACGUCAGGGAUCCUUCUCUGGAACUCCGUCGUUUUCUAUGAAGGGAAACUACCGGAUACUGCUGCAGAGUGUAAAUUCCUGCUGGACUCAUGUCUACUUGUGACAACCACCCUUGAGUUACCAGUUCAAAGGUUCUGAAGUGAUCCCAAGCCACCUGUAACAUCAAUAUCAAGAUCAUGGAAGAAAACUACUAACCAGGC